rnacentral:lncRNA from 1 species
AUUCACAGGCAGUUGGUUAUGCCAAAAGAAGUAGGAGUUAAUAUCUGCAUUUUACUGCUGAUAAAAUUCACUCAAAAAAUUACAACCUAACCAAGACGAAGACUCUAGCAAGGUUAGAAGAGAAACGUGACUCCACAUCUGUUGGGCUCCAGAGCCUGCAGAUGAGGUUGCUUUAGUGAUUAAGGGAGCUGGAGUUCCUUCUAGCCAAGGACUUAAGGUUCUUACGAGUCCUUGAAAAUGAGUCAGUGGUGGAAUGUUUUAGACAGUGGGAACUUAUAUGUGCAAAGUUUUGGAAAUCAGAAAUACCAGAUACAUUUCUGAGAAGGCCGGUCCUCCAUACCAAAACAUUCUUCCCUCCAGUUUUCAGUGAGAAGACUGAGCAGGGUGGAGACGAAAAGCAAUAGCUUACAGCUGGAGAAGUAGUUUGGGACUCAUCUCCGCUUAGACUGACCCCAGCUGAAACUACAGCUCAAGAGGUAUGAGGAAUCAGUGGGUCGGGAGCAGGUGGCCCACUGGCUGAAGGUGCGACGCUGCUGCUGUCCAGUCCCAGGCUUGUCACCAGCCUCACCCAAGAGCACUCCCUGAGCUGUGUGUGCGUGAUGUCUGACACUGAAACCCACAACACGCAUUCUCCCACUGCUCAUCCCCGACUCUACAGAGCAUCAAGCUAUUGCCUUGUUAUCCUCUUCCCAGGGGAAAAUAAAGAGGCAUGCCUGAAGCUCCAGAGAGGCAUCGAGGAGGCUGAUAAAGCAAAGUCAAUGAGAAAAUUGGCUCAUAAACAAACUUCAAGAAGUAAAUUUGACAAAAUCUUCUUGGCUGAUUGAGAUUUGCAGAUGCCAAGUGAAAGAUGGGGCAACAGUGGUGAAAUACUCUCUUGAAUCCAGCACAGGAGGGAGAAGAGUAAAGAAAGCUCCUCACACCUGUGAAGGGAGCACAACCACCCUCCUGAGAUGGAAGUAUGACCCCACGAGGGAGGCGAGAAUACUCUGAUGGAGCUCCAUGCCCCGGUGAGGACGAGAGACGAGGGACAAGUCUGCAGGGCAGGACCACCUCAGGCAGCUCUCCUCCUCUGUUCCUUUUUGACCUGAACAGGCAGUAUUUGAAAGCAACUACACGGAGUGCCCCCAGGCUUGUGAGCUUGAAGAAAGUGACCCUGCAGCCAACCAGGGCUCUUCCCUGAUACAGUGAACAGCAACACAGCAAAAGGAGCUCUCAUUACAGUGCACAUUACAUACCACAGAUGAGAAAACUGAGACACACACCAAAAACCCUCCCAGUAGGAUAGAGUUAGUGAGUUAUAGAGCCAGGAUUCUCAAGGAGACAGCCAGAUUCCAGAGGCCAAACUCUUUCUGACGAAGCCGUAUUGUUGCAUUCAGGAGGACCCCCGGGUGUUGCUACAAAGGGCAGCCAGGUUCAAGUGGAAGCCAUGGCAGAAAGUUGGCCCUGGUGCUUCCUCACCAAAGAAAGAGAACAAGAAUGGCAGAGAUGAUACAGAUCCAACGGAAAUGUGCAAGGCCAUGGCUCCCUCCACACUCUGCUCGGGCUGCAACAUGGCCAAUUGGUUUCAUCAAUUACCAGAAAGGGCCCUUCUUUCCCAUUUUGUGUGGACUGGGAUGAUUUCAUCAGAGAUUAUCAUAAUUCUGAAACAGAACCCGUAACAAUUACUAUUUCACCAGAAGACAAUACUAGCUAAUUGCAGGAUUUGGGCUCCAGGGGCGAGCAAACCUAAAGAAACCACACUUCCCUGGGUAGACAGGACUGGAGAGUCAGGAAUGUGGAAGGAGCUCUGCCUUGUGGUGUCUUAGGAGAAGCAGCAGUCCCAGGAUGGGCGAGGAGUGUGCUCAGAGAGCCAGCCUCCCCUUAUUGGUGCACCUGUUCUCUGAUGACCACUGUGGGCACCUGGGAGGGAGAUAGCAAAUGUAGGUGAGAAGGCACAAAGUAGCUGGGACAUACAAUCAUGAGAGGAGGCAAACUCAUCUUGUCUCCAUUGCCCCAGGAAGGAAAGAGCGCAAGCAGAGAGGAGAACACAGAGGCAACACAGAGGCUCUCAAAAGCAAGGCAUCCACAGUCAGGCUGUUCAGGGGAUUAAAGGAGAGAGCUGGAGGGAAGCAGCCCUGGGUUCAAAUGCCAGCACUCCUGUCAGUUUCCUGAGUCACCUGGGCCAGGUUGCUCAACUGAUUUGAGUUGCAGACUCUUCUGUCCCAUGGAGAUGAUUACCUAUCUCCUGUGUUGGCAUAGGAAUCGAGUGUUACAGGUAUGUUAGCCUGGAAAGUGACUGUCACUCACACACAGACCCAUUCUCACCCUCGUCCACCCAAGUUUAUUCUCCACAUAUCAGCAAGGCACCCAGAGUGAACUUUUAAAAUCAUAAACAGGACCAUGCAGCUCCCCCAUUUCGACACUUCCAUGCCUCAUCAUCGCCAUGGGAACAAAUCCACAGGACUCCCCACUGUCUGCAUGGUUUGCCCACGGCUGCUACUCCAACCUCACCUUUGCCCCCCUCCCCUUUGCCCACUGGGCCACAGCUCCAUUGAUGGAAUCACCUUUCCUCCACUUGUCAAGCAUGCCCUAACUCGGCCUGAGCAUGUGCUGUUCCCUCUUACUCAGGGCUCUUCCCCAGAUAUUUACAUGGCUCAGCUCAGUUCAUCAAGGUCUCUGCCCAAAGGCCACAUCUUUGGAACACUCUUCCCUGACUAAUCCAUCAAAAAUAACCAUCUUUUUAUGCCUCAUCCCCUUACCCAACUUUAGUCUCCUUCUUGGGUAUUAUAUUAUGCAUUUAUUUCUCAUCUGUUGUCUAUUUCCUGUAGCACACCGUGAGUUCCAGUCCCCUGUACCCCAAUGCCUAGAUCAGUGCCAGCAUACAGAGGUAGACAAUAAAGGUGUCACCUUUGCCUUCCUUUUUUCAUCCCCCCUCCUCUCUCACACUAUAGAAUCUCAUUGCAGAAGAUAUGAGAAUCAGAGUUGCGUUUCCAUAACUGGAGGAUAAGCCACCUGUGCUCCUAUAGGUCCCACCUCCAUUGCCUAUGAAAUCCACGUCAAAUUUCAUGCUCUGUCCGCUUCCUCCUCCGUGUCCUGGCCUCAUGGAGCUUCCUGAGCUCUGCAUCCAUUUCCAUGGCCAGGAGGAAGCAGGACUUAAUAGAUUGCUCACAGAACUGCCUGCCUCGUCUUUGCGCCUCCAGCUUCAGCUCCCCAGUCAGCGCCUAAGUGUGGCAGUAAGCUCUG